rnacentral:piRNA from 1 species
UAGUGGUCUAUCUCGGGGCAUUAUCCCUU